rnacentral:lncRNA from 1 species
UAUUGCCAUCCUCACUAUCACUAUCCGAUGACAUCUGCCAUAUCAAACAAUAGUUAGCAUCAAGAUAAUAAUAGGUUCACCAACAUAGGCAUUAAAUAUUAUUCCAAUAGCACAAGAUAGUAAUAGGUUCACCAACAUAGGCAUAAAUAUUGUUCUCAUAGCACAACAUAAUAAAAGGUUCACCAACAAAGGCAUAAAUAUUGUUCUCAUAACACAAGAUAAUAAAAGGUUCACCAACAAAGGCAUAAAUAUUGUUCUCAUAGCACAACAUAAUAAAAGGUUCACCAACAAAGGCAUAAAUAUUGUUCUCAUAGCACAACAUAAUAAUAGGUUCACCAACAUAGGCAUAAAUAUUGUUCCCAUCGCUCCAAGAUAAUAAAAGGUUCACCAACAAAGGCAUAAAUAUUGUUCUCAUAGCACAACAUAAUAAUAGGUUCACCAACAUAGGCAUAAAUAUUGUUCCCAUCGCCCAAGAUAAGAUGUAACGAACUAGUUGCCAUACUUGAGGUCAAACCUCCUACGCAACCAACCCAUUCUAGAGUCGGAUGUCAUGUGCAAGAACAUUUCCCUUCGCUCUUUCUUCAGAAAGAGCUCAGUAGCAAUGAAGUGCUCAUCAGUGCCAUCUAUUGCGCCACAAGCACGAACUAAAUCCAUGGUAGAUGCAACAGAGGUGGUCUCAUCUUUCUGUAGGAAAGACUAAAAUGAUGUAUGCGAAGCAUGUGCAAUGGAACUAAUCUUUUUUAUCUCCUCUUGCAUCACUUGUGCAGUCUUUGGUUUCUUGUUCUUCUCCGGAAUCUUGACCCCAAGCCUCACUUUAGAUGCACUAGCUAUUGUCGGAGAUGCUUGCUCUUCGGUAUCAUCCUCCAAAUCAAGAUCGGUGAUUUCAUCAACAUUCAANNNN